rnacentral:lncRNA from 1 species
UUUGUAAAUAAUAAUAAAAAAUUAAAGAGGAAACAAAAUUGAAGAUAAUGAAAAGGAGAAAAAAGUCAAUUAAAAAUUUAACCAUAAAGAUAAAGUAGGUUAAUAAUGAUAAAUAGAUAUGAGAAAUAGUAGGAAUUUGUCUCUCAAGUAUUCAAAAGGAUAGUCAGAUACCAAUUGGAUUAAUUGUCUCUCAAGUUUUAAAAAAAU